rnacentral:rRNA from 1 species
UACGGAGGAUGCAAGCGUUAUCCGGAAUGAUUGGGCGUAAAGCGUCCGCAGGUGGCUAUGUAAGUCUGCUGUUAAAGAGUGAGGCUCAACCUCAUAAGAGCAGUGGAAACUACAAGGCUAGAGUACGUUCGGGGCAGAGGGAAUUCCUGGUGUAGCGGUGAAAUGCGUAGAGAUCCGGAAGAACACCGGUGGCGAAGGCGGCCUGCUGGGCAGUAGCUGACACUGAGGCGCGACAGCGUGGGGAGCAAACAGG